CGGCCCACCAAGGCGACGAUCGGUAGCCGGACUGAGAGGUUGAACGGCCACAUUGGGACUGAGACACGGCCCAGACUCCUACGGGAGGCAGCAGUGGGGAAUAUUGCACAAUGGGGGAAACCCUGAUGCAGCGACGCCGCGUGGAGGAAGAAGGUCUUCGGAUUGUAAACUCCUGUUGUUGAGGAAGAUAAUGACGGUACUCAACAAGGAAGUGACGGCUAACUACGUGCCAGCAGCCGCGGUAAAACGUAGGUCACAAGCGUUGUCCGGAAUUACUGGGUGUAAAGGGAGCGCAGGCGGGAAGACAAGUUGGAAGUGAAAUCCAUGGGCUCAACCCAUGAACUGCUUUCAAAACUGUUUUUCUUGAGUAGUGCAGAGGUAGGCGGAAUUCCCGGUGUAGCGGUGGAAUGCAUAGAUAUUGGGAGGAACACCAGUGGCGAAGGCGGCCUACUGGGCACCAACUGACGCUGAGGCUCGAAAGUGUGGGUAGCAAACAGGAUUAGAUACCCUGGUAGUCCACACUGUAAACGAUGAUUUCUAGGUGUUGGAGGAUUGACCCCUUCUGUGCCGCAGUUAACACAAUAAGUAAUCCACCUGGGGAGUACGACCGCAAGGUUGAAACUCAAAGGAAUUGACGGGGGCCCGCACAAGCAGUGGAGUAUGUGGUUUAAUUCGACGCAACGCGAAGAACCUUACCAAGUCUUGACAUCCUGCGACGCACAUAGAAAUAUGUGUUUCCUUCGGGACGCAGAGACAGGUGGUGCAUGGUUGUCGUCAGCUCGUGUCGUGAGAUGUUGGGUUAAGUCCCGCAACGAGCGCAACCCUUAUGGUCAGUUACUACGCAAGAGGACUCUGGCCAGACUGCCGUUGACAAAACGGAGGAAGGUGGGGAUGACGUCAAAUCAUCAUGCCCUUUAUGACUUGGGCUACACACGUACUACAAUGGCGUUAAACAAAGAGAAGCGAGACCGCGAGGUGGAGCAAAACUCAGAAACAACGUCCCAGUUCGGACUGCAGGCUGCAACUCGCCUGCACGAAGUCGGAAUUGCUAGUAAUCGCAGAUCAGCAUGCUGCGGUGAAUACGUUCCCGGGCCUUGUACACACCGCCCGUCACACCAUGAGAGCCGGGGGGACCCGAAGUCGGUAGUCUAACCGCAAGGAGGACGCCGCCGAAGGUAAAACUGGUGAUUGGGGUGAAGUCGUAACAAGGUAGCCGUAGGAGAACCUGCGGCUG
rnacentral:rRNA from 1 species